rnacentral:rRNA from 1 species
UUGACGGGGCCCGCACAAGCGGUGGAGCAUUGUGGUUUAAUUCGAUGCAACGCGAAGAACCUUACCUAGGCUUGACAUCCCUGGAAUUUUGUGGAAACACAAAAGUGCCUUUCGGGGAACCAGGAGACAGGUGCUGCGUGGCUGUCGUCAGCUCGUGUCGUGAGAUGUUGGGUUAAGUCCCGCAACGAGCGCAACCCUUAUCUUUAAUUGCCAGCAUUCAGUUGGGCACUUUAAAGAGACUGCCGGUGUUAAACCGGAGGAAGGUGGGAUGACGUCAAGUCCUCAUGGCCUUUAUGCUUAGGGCUACACACGUGCUACAAUGGGUGGUACAAAGAGAAGCCAACUCGCGAGAGCGCGCCAAUCUCAAAAAGCCAUCCUCAGUUCGGAUUGGAGUCUGCAACUCGACUCCAUGAAGUUGGAAUCGCUAGUAAUCGCGGAUCAGCACGCCGCGGUGAAUACGUUCCCGGGCCUU